rnacentral:rRNA from 1 species
ACUACGGGAGGCAGCAGUGGGGAAUAUUGCGCAAUGGGGGCAACCCUGACGCAGCAACGCCGCGUGAUUGAAGAAGGCCUUCGGGUUGUAAAGAUCUUUAUUCGGGGACGAAUUUUGACGGUACCCGACCAAUAAGCGCCGGCUAACUACGUGCCAGCAGCCGCGGUAAUACGUAGGGAGCAAGCGUUAUCCGGAUGUACUGGGUGUAAAGGGCGUGUAGGCGGGCAUGCAAGCCAGAAGUGAAAUCUGGGGGCUUAACCCCCAAACUGCUUUUGAAACUGGGUGUCUGGAGUGAUGGAGAGGCAGGCGGAAUUCCCGGUGUAGCGGUGAAAUGCGUAGAUAUUGGGAAGAACCCCGGUGGCGAAGGCAGCCUGCUGGACAUUAACUGACGCUGAGGCGCGAAAGCGUGGGGAGCGAACAGGAUUAGAUACCCUUGUAGUC